CCUAUGGAGUAUCACAUCAAAUGUGAGUAGCUGUUACCACUGCAAAAGCAGAUACGAUGAAAUAGGAA
rnacentral:sRNA from 12 species